UCAAAAACGGACGUCGAAAACGACUUUUUCAGGAUUUUCAAAGUGCUCUCAUUCCCUUAGUUCUGCUCGGAUCCUGUUAUAACCCGGUGUUUUCGUAAUCUAGGUGACCCAAAUAAGACGCUGGUAUACUUAGUUUGAUUUCGAAAAAAAUCAAUUUUUGGUGAAAAAAUUCGAUACGGGGGGUAUACCCGAAAAAUGAAAAAACCCAAACUUUGAAGGUCGAUAUCUCGGCUUCUAUGGGAGCUAUCGGGAAAAUUCCAACGGUUUUGUCUUAGUUUCGUCAUUCUGAAUCCAACGAGACCAUCCGC